rnacentral:lncRNA from 1 species
GCCCCGCUGCUAGCGAGAACGCGGCAGCUGUGUGAGCCGUCAUAAACGGGCUGUCUUUGUCAGCCUCUUGUGCCGUGCCUCAAACUCUGAAGGCUGGAUUGUGCAGAGUGUCUGAGGGGGCGCUCAAGUGAUAGGUCGAUCCAAUGAUGCUCGAGGUGCCUUUGCUGCGAGACAGUCAAUGUUAGAGCGUGGGGACUGCAGUGAGAGGGUUAGCAGUCCAACAGCGCUCUCUAGUGGAGGGCACAGUCCCUGAUGAACAGCAGAAGUAUCAGGAACUGCUGUAAGGGGAUUGAGGACGUGAGGCUUUUGCCGUUCAACUCAGGUUUUCUGUAAUGUCGGCUAGAUUAGCCAAGGUGGCGCUCGACUGUUAACAUCCCCGUCAUAGAACGGUUCACUGCUCGGGCAGUAUGUUUGGCAGCACUUAGCGCCAAAUCUUUUGCCCCCCGCAGCUUUUUCACAGCCUCCGGUUGUGAUAUCUUUCUCGUUAGAACCGCCAUCAAGUGAAGUAAAUUUGCCGAGAUUAGACGCGACUCGACACGCCUUCGAGAGGGGCGAGACUUUAGGCCGCGGCCGAGUUCGGCGCGAUACGUUCGGCUAGAGAGUUCGUCCACCGGCGGCAUCGCUGUAUAACCGCGGUCCGCCAUGUCAGCAAUGGUGGCGAAACCCGCGGCGUUCGUGAUGCGCGCUGAUUAAGGCUGUUUCCAGAACCUCGAAACCUCUUGGUGGAGGUCCGUGAAGAAGGGUAGCGGCUCACGGGGGGGGGGGGGGAGUAGGUUUAUCCACCAUGCGGGUAACCACAUUCAACAGCUCACUGAGAAAGGGGAGGCGCAUUUCUCCUGUCCGCUCGGAGGGAGAGAACCGCAUGUGCCGGCCAGAACGUACUCGGGGGGGGAUAGUUUAUCCACCAUGCGGGUAACCACAUUCAACAGCUCACUGAGAAAGGGGAGGCGCAUUUCUCCUGUCCGCUCGGAGGGAGAGAACCGCAUCGGUAGACAAACAUAGUUUGUAAAAGCAAAUCUGCUGAUUUAACACACUCGAGUGGGGGAGAGCGAGCGAAGUGGAAAAACUCCAGCGCAUCACUGUCCUCAUAGUCCGAGCCGCACACAUCGCCCCAAACCACCGCUUCGUGCGGCACCUCGGCGACCGCAGAAGCGUAACGGCGGGGGUUAGACGCGGGGCGACCUAGAGAAAAUACACUCCCAAGCGCAGAACUGUAGCCGCAGGCUAUCACAGAGAGAACAUGCAGAGAGGCUGCUAAACGAACCUCUCAUGAGUGCCUCCCCGUGAUAAACCAGUGCCUCCCCGUGAUAAACCCGUUAUACGGCUCUUACCUUUCGUUGACUCAUCGCGUCCACGAAGAGGAGUUGAACACUGCUCGAAGAAAAAAACGACUGAGAACGCGAGAUGGUUUCCUUAGGGCACAGAU